rnacentral:rRNA from 1 species
AUGGACGCGUCGCCGUCGCUCACACGGCCAUCGCAUCCCCCACGCUGCACCACCGUGUCCCGGGGGACCAAAGUCAUAUCCUACACCGUCUACAACACCGACUCGACGCCGGGGAGCCUCACAACGACGGGAUCGAGGUCGUCUUCAACCUUGGUGCCGCCACCAUCCGUCGUUCGAUCCGCGACCGAUGACGCAUCCCCGGCCUCCACGAGACCUCCUCGAGCUCCGAAAUGA